UGAUGUUAUAGAAUUAUUCCUCAUGACUCUGGAAUAAUGAAUUCUCUGAGCCUGGGGUGUCCUUCAGCUCUGCAAUCUACCUUCUCAUUGGCUAACUAUCCUUAUAGAAGUUAGGAUGAGCCCAAGGGACCCUGGGUCAGAUAGCCAUGGCAACAGGCUGCUCCAACUUUCUCUUCUUCUCUGCCCUCCUCUAGCUGAGAGGCCUGGUAGCAUUGCCCAAGACUCCCUGGAGUGGCUGGAAGUGUUCCUGCCGAGGAGGCACUCCACAGUGUGGGCUCUGUGAGGCUGAGGUGGUGGUCGGUUGCAGUGAGUGUGGGGAUCCUGGGGGCCACACAAAAACAAAGC
rnacentral:lncRNA from 1 species